rnacentral:rRNA from 1 species
CCUACGGGUGGCAGCAGUGGGGAAUAUUGCGCAAUGGGCGAAAGCCUGACGCAGCGAUGCCGCGUGAGGGAUGAAGGCCUUCGGAUCGUAAACCUCUGUUAGCAGGGAAGAACGGUCACGGUGCUAAUCAGCAGUGAAUUGACGGUACCCGCAAAGUAAGCACCGGCUAACUCCGUGCCAGCAGCCGCGGUAAUACGGAGGGUGCGAGCGUUAAUCGGAAUUACUGGGCGUAAAGCGCGCGUAGGCGGUAUGGCAAGUCAAGGGUGAAAUCCCCGCGCUCAACGUGGGAACUGCAUUGGAGACUGGCAAACUAGAGUGUGUGAGAGGGUAGUGGAAUUCGAGGUGUAGGAGUGAAAUGCGUAGAUAUCGGGAGGAACAUCAGUGGCGAAGGCGACUAUCUGGCACAUAACUGACGCUGAGGAGCGAAAGCGUGGGUAGCAAACAGGAUUAGAUACCCUGGUAGUC